rnacentral:rRNA from 1 species
UACGUAGGGACCAAGCGUUGUUCGGAUUUACUGGGCGUAAAGGGCGCGUAGGCGGCGUGGUAAGUCACUUGUGAAAUCUCUGAGCUUAACUCAGAACGGCCAAGUGAUACUGCUGUGCUAGAGUGCGGAAGAGGGUCGUGGAAUUCCCAGUGUAGAGGUGAAAUUCGUAGAUAUUGGGAAGAACACCGGUGGCGAAGGCGGCGACCUGGUCCGAUACUGACGCUGAGGCGCGAAAGCGUGGGGAGCAAACAGG